CCCACAUUCGGGGAAGAGACCAAAUCCAAAUUGGCACCGAAGGGGCAAGGCAAUUUUUCCAUUCGCCGAAUCUCUCAGGUAAAAGGACCCCGGAUGAAUU
rnacentral:ncRNA from 1 species